AACGAACGCUGGCGGCAUGCCUAACACAUGCAAGUCGAACGAUGCUUUCGGGCAUAGUGGCGCACGGGUGCGUAACGCGUGGGAAUCUGCCCUUUGGUUCGGAAUAACAGUUGGAAACGACUGCUAAUUCCGGAUGAUGACGUAAGUCCAAAGAUUUAUCGCCAGAGGAUGAGCCCGCGUGAGAUUAGGUAGUUGGUGGGGUAAAGGCCUACCAAGCCGACGAUCUCUAGCUGGUCUGAGAGGAUGAUCAGCCACACUGGGACUGAGACACGGCCCAGACUCCUACGGGAGGCAGCAGUGGGGAAUAUUGGACAAUGGGCGAAAGCCUGAUCCAGCAAUGCCGCGUGAGUGAUGAAGGCCUUAGGGUUGUAAAGCUCUUUUACCCGGGAUGAUAAUGACAGUACCGGGAGAAUAAGCCCCGGCUAACUCCGUGCCAGCCGCCGCCGUAA
rnacentral:rRNA from 1 species